rnacentral:rRNA from 1 species
GACGUAGGGCGCGAGCGUUGUCCGGAUUGAUUGGGCGUAAAGAGCUCGUAGGCGGCUCGUCGCGUCUGCCGUGAAAACCCGAGGCUUAACCUCGGGCUGGCGGUGGAUACGGGCAGACUAGAGGUAGGUAGGGGAGAAUGGAAUUCCCGGUGUAGCGGUGAAAUGCGCAGAUAUCGGGAGGAACACCGGUGGCGAAGGCGGUUCUCCGGGCCUUACCUGACGCUGAGGAGCGAAAGCGUGGGGAGCGAACAGG